rnacentral:rRNA from 1 species
AAUCAGCAUGUGUGGUAGUGGAACGGUCUGGAAAGGCCGGCGAUACAGGGUGACAGCCCCGUACACAAAAUUGCACGUGCUGUGAGCUCGAUGAGUAGGGCGGGACACGUGGUAUCCUGUCUGAAUAUGGGGGGACCAUCCUCCAAGGCUAAAUACUCCUGACUGACCGAUAGUGAACCAGUACCGUGAGGGAAAGGCGAAAAGAACCCCGGCGAGGGGAGUGAAAAAGAACCUGAAACCGUGUACGUACAAGCAGUGGGAGCCUCUUUUAUGGGGUGACUGCGUACCUUUUGUAUAAUGGGUCAGCGACUUAUAUUCUGUAGCAAGGUUAACCGGAUAGGGGAGCCGAAGGGAAACCGAGUCUUAACUGGGCGUUAAGUUGCAGGGUAUAGACCCGAAACCCGGUGAUCUAGCCAUGGGCAGGUUGAAGGUUGGGUAACACUAACUGGAGGACCGAACCGACUAAUGUUGAAAAAUUAGCGGAUGACUUGUGGCUGGGGGUGAAAGGCCAAUCAAACCGGGAGAUAGCUGGUUCUCCCCGAAAGCUAUUUAGGUAGCGCCUCGUGAACUCAUCUUCGGGGGUAGAGCACUGUUUCGGCUAGGGGGUCAUCCCGACUUACCAACCCGAUGCAAACUGCGAAUACCGAAGAAUGUUAUCACGGGAGACACACGGCGGGUGCUAACGUCCGUCGUGAAGAGGGAAACAACCCAGACCGCCAGCUAAGGUCCCAAAGUCAUGGUUAAGUGGGAAACGAUGUGGGAAGGCUCAGACAGCCAGGAUGUUGGCUUAGAAGCAGCCAUCAUUUAAAGAAAGCGUAAUAGCUCACUGGUCGAGUCGGCCUGCGCGGAAGAUGUAACGGGGCUAAACCAUGCACCGAAGCUGCGGCAGCGACACUAUGUGUUGUUGGGUAGGGGAGCGUUCUGUAAGCCUGUGAAGGUGUGCUGUGAGGCAUGCUGGAGGUAUCAGAAGUGCGAAUGCUGACAUAAGUAACGAUAAAGCGGGUGAAAAGCCCGCUCGCCGGAAGACCAAGGGUUCCUGUCCAACGUUAAUCGGGGCAGGGUGAGUCGACCCCUAAGGCGAGGCCGAA